AGUAGAAUUGCUGGGUCAUAGGGUAAUUGUGUGUUUCACCUUUUAAGGAACUACCAGACUGUUUUCCAAAGUGGCUAUACCAUUUUACAUUCCCACAAGCAGU
rnacentral:pre_miRNA from 2 species